UGUUUUUAUUUGUUUUUUUUUUUUGUUUUUACUGUUUUAAAGUUAUCGAUAUUAUUAUCAGUUAUUAUUCAGUCAUUUUAUUUGUAAUGUUGCAGGUUAGCAGAGGUUAACCCUCCAGCCACUAGGGGGCCUCAAAGCUGAAUGUUCAGCCUCACCUGAGGAGAAUUAAACCCACCUGUCUUUAUCUCUUAUAGGCUUCAAAAUAAAUGUAGGAAACAAGAAGAAAAUGAGCCGCAGGGAGAAGCUGUGCUUUGAGGUUUUCUGACAUAAUUAAGUCAAAAUCGUUGGACUCCACUGUCGCGCAGUGAGUGACGUCAGCCGACAGGUAUGAUGGGAAUGCUUGACAGGUAGCCAUCAUUCCCGUCAGUGAGGAUGUGGAUGUGAAACGGCGUCAAACAGAAGUUAUCCUGCUGGGACCGAAAAAGAAAGUCAGAGGAUGGAGGUCUUGGAUCUGUGGGCUCCUCAGUCUGAACCACAGCUGGAAAACAUGGCUGCAGAGUCCAGAGAACAAAUCAAAUCCACCUGUCAGAGCAGAGCCAGAGACGCCUGCUGUCUGUGACUGUAAAGGAUCCUGAUCCUGAUCCACCUGCUCCUCCAGGAUCCCAGAGGACCACGUCAUCAAUGAGGUGAGUUGAUUGAGUCUAUCAGCUGACCAGAGGAUGGAGCAGCACCACACAUGGUGAAGAUGUGGGCUGUGUUGUUUAGUUGUUCACUCAGUGCAGCCAAACAGGAUCCAGGUCCAGCUGAGCUCCAGGUCCAGCUCAGGUCCAGCUCAGGUCCAGCU